CUUAAGCUUAGUUGCCAUCAUUAAGUUGGGCACUCUAAGUUGACUGCCGGUGACAAACCGGAGGAAGGUGGGGAUGACGUCAAAUCAUCAUGCCCCUUAUGAUUUGGGCUACACACGUGCUACAAUGGACAAUACAAAGGGCAGCGAAACCGCGAGGUCAAGCAAAUCCCAUAAAGUUGUUCUCAGUUCGGAUUGUAGUCUGCAACUCGACUACAUGAAGCUGGAAUCGCUAGUAAUCGUAGAUCAGCAUGCUACGGUGAAUACGUUCCCGGGUCUUGUACACACCGCCCGUCACACCACGAGAGUUUGUAACACCCGAAGCCGGUGGAGUAACCUUUUAGGAGCUAGCCGUCGAAGGUGGGACAAAUGAUUGGGGUGAAGUCGUAACAAGGUAGCCGUAUCGGAAGGUGCGGCUG
rnacentral:rRNA from 1 species